ensembl:lncRNA
CACCAUUGCCCCUUGCUUGAGGGGAGGAAUGUCUCCUUUGGGGCUGAGGGGAAUACCACAGACCCCUUGGAGAGUUGCCUCCAUCUUGGGAGUCUCUCUGGGAUCUGAGCUGGGCAGACAGCCAUGAGGGUGGGACCUGCCUCAGUGACACCUGUGGUGGGAAGCAGACCUGAUGCUGGCUGCAAUCUGCAAUCAGAGGUCGUUUGUUUUCCUGUAUUGGGAAGAUGCAGGUUACUCUUGCUGUUCGCUUUCCCUCACCCUGCAGCGAUGGCAGCUCUGAGCACUGCAGUCAAGCUCUACAAAGAAGGAGGAAUGUGCAUGCCUCUUUCAGAAGUUCCAUCAGCAGCAGAGCUCUUUCCCAAAGCAAAACAAGGACAGGCGGUGUGGAGUCACAGUGACCUCCGCCGGCCAGCCCUGCCUUGGCGCGGAUCUGACAGCUUUUCCUGGUGCAGGAAGAGUGCUUGCUGUGCCUGCUCUCAUCUCCUGCUUGCACAGAUGGACAACUUGCUGCUCUUGCACUCCUUGCACACACGGCUAGCUGAAGGCACUGAGUGAAUCGACUAUCAAGCUUGUGAGUUAUGGUGCAACAUGACUUGAAGUUCUUAAACUCAUAAGCUUGGUGUGUAAUUCUUCCUGCAGUCCCGAAUGAAGCACUGUGUGUCUUUGGAGCAGAGCAUCACGUGACAUCUCCAUGCUAGCACAGAUUUGUGCUAAUGUCAAACACACGCACUUGCCAGAAGCUAAAUGUAAAUUUCUUCUCGCAAAGGCAGAGCUACGAGCUGCAUAUGACUAUAACAUUCACUCCAAACAUAUUUUAGCUUUAAGAAAGUUGCUUUAAUGGAAAAAAGAAACAUUAAAAAGUUAUACGUUGUACUGUUUUAAUCACAGCUUUAUAUUCUGAGUAUGCUUGCUUACUUACAUUUCUGUCUGCAGGUGAAAGAGACUGAGAAAAGAGAAGCAAAAUAAAAAUGAAGGAACAUUUUCACUAGCAAUAUUGGCUUCACUGGGCUUUGCUGCAGAUAAAUCUGCUGAUGACUUGAAUAACAAAAGGAAGCUCAAACUAUGAUGAAUCAUUUGCUCCGUAUUUUCAUUUGUCUGGUUUUGUCUUGACAUUUGCUCCUGUUGUCUCCGUGCAGUAUCUCUCGCGGGGUUUGCAGGAAAAAGGGUUUUGCAAGCUUUCUUUUGAUGGUUGCCUCUCACUGAAGGAUCCUCCGCACCUUUUAUUUCUUUAGCAAAGAAAUAAGAACUACCUUGCUCCUGUGUAAAUGCUCUCGUCUUACAGCAGAUAAAGCAAACACCCUAAUAUUCGCAGUACAUUCUUGUUUUAUUUAUGCUGACACCUGCAUGGGCAUGUGUCUUGCUGUAGAGUAAACAUAUACUGAAGAUUCGCUGAUAAUUAAAAUCUUGCCAUUGAUAAUGGCAACUCAACCCUAAGAAAAGUUUUUGCUUCAGGGAGAAAGAAAAAGAAAGGGAAAAAGAAAAAUAAAAAGCACUGAUCACCACUUGUGGUAUUCUUAGGAAAAUCGCUAAUGAGAAAAAAAAGUUGUAAAAACUAUUUUUUUUAAUGUGGUUUACUCUUAGAGCCUCGUGAGACUCACCUAUGGCAUUAGCAUAAGCUGAUAGUGAUGUGACAUCUUUCAAAUCCAUCCUUUCCUCAAGGACAUCAAGAGAGGUGAAAGCUGACAGCUCUGUCUUACACUGACAGAGCUUUGGGUCAAGCGGGCAUCACACCAGUUUACGUGAGGGCUGAAGCUGACCUUGUGUCUCUACAGCUCCCAAAGGAUCCUACAGUGAGCACUGAUGUAUUCAAGGCUGUGCAUGCUGGCAUCGCAACCAGAUCUCCACGUUAAGGGCAACAUUGAGGGCAUCUUUCAUCCUGGGGCAAGCACAGAGCAUCAGAAAGAUGUUCUGCUACAAAAAUUUUGCGACAAGCUGCCAUCAUCUCCUGCAGGGCAAAUACAGGAGUCUACUGCUGAAGACAAGCCAUCACAGCCUGCCUCAGGUGCUGACAGCACUUCUUUAACACAUCAGCUUCUCUAGCACAAGCCUUAUUCUCAACAACAGCUGCUACUGAUCGAGCCGUUACUGAUCGGGCAUCUUCUCCUUGUUGGCUAAAAGGCAAAAGCAAAUCUGUCAGAAACAACGUGGCCUAGCAUCUUGUGGACAGAGGGCUAGAUCAGCCCCCAGACUGCUGACUGCACGCUUAUGUCCAGUACAAUGAUCCAAAGGUGCUUUUGGAUGGGCCCAAGGAAGCCCCAUUCAUCUUUAGGAAGCAGCAGGGAAGGUUGUGUGGUGAAUUGGCGAGGCUUGGAUUCAGACACCUGACCCGCCUGCCAUCUAGUGUAUGUUCAGAGCAUACUUCCAGCAGGAGAACAAAGAACAGAAUUAAUCUGAGUGAAUGUGGCACAUUAUCGAGAGCCCACGCUGAAAACACCUUUGCAUUUUCAUCACGAGGGUCUGCUUUUUGGCAAUAGGGUAUACCCUAAAAACAGCUCACCAGCAGCCAUUCGGUUGCAGUGAUCGCACCGCUUUCAAAAACACAACAGACAAAACCCAGCCUACUUCCUUCAGCUGCAAAAGAAGCAGCUUACAUUUCCCACAACCAAUUGUACCCCGUUUACGCAAGACAAGCUACAGAAAGCUUGACUUCUGGGUCUACUGCUUUUACCAAGAGUUACCUCCUUCAUCUGUUUAGCCGUCUGUCUGGAACAGAGCUGCUCACACUUAAUAUGCACAGACACCGAACAAAACAGUGGUCCUGUGCCACACAGAGCCCCAGUGUUCACAUAUCUGUAUGCCAGACAUUAAUUUGCACAAUUUCCAUUUUCCAUCAUCCUCCAUUUUGGCACAACCACCUAUUUCAAGAUUGCUUUUCUUCAAUGAAAUCUUCUAAUUUAGAAGACGAGUGAGUAAUAAGGAUUUGACUUAAGAAACUGGGACUGAACUGAUAGAAGAAUACACCUCCGCAGACCAAAUAGCUUUUUUCAUAAUUUGUCAUUUUUCUGUAAAUACAGUAUAUAUGUAUAUACAUAUUCUUCAUUGAAUUGUCUGCAAACCACAGAAAUGAGUAAGAAUUAUUUUGGAAUUCUCAAACCCAAACUCACACCCACAUUCAACAGUUGCUUAACCUCGAAGCCAAGUCACAGCACAUCUGAGACCCACUCAGAGACGUGUGGAUAGCAGACAAAGGACAGAGGUCCCUGAGCUGUGAAUGACUGAGUCAGCUCUGGGAACACAAUAAAAACAGGCUCAGCAGCAUGGAGCUAAUUGCCUCCUACCUGGGCUAAUUAGCUUUUAUGCAGUACUGCAGCGAUGCAGCUGUACGGUCUUUGGAUCCGGCACUGCUCUGCAACUAAGACAACGCUCUUAAAACCCUGCAGUGCCCUGCACUGACUGGACACAAACGAGUCAUCUUCCACUAAAAAGAAGACAAAAAUGAUUAAGUCAAUUUUGUAAUGGGUGGUGAUGGAUCUUGUUGUCACUUCAACUUCAAUGAAUAUAAACAUACGCAUUUUUCACUAAAUUAAGACACACACGUGCAUCUGAUCAGUCUUCUCAGGAGUAUGACAAAUCUCCCUUGCCCUACUUUUGGUGCUGCGUUCUCACAGCAGCAAUAUCAUGGCAACUUCCCGUUCCCAGUACGCACUUUCACUGAAAUCAACUGCUGGCCGCUGGAACAGACACAGCUCUGAGUCAUUGCCUGCAAAAAAGGCUUUGGACCAGAAGUCCCUGUGUCAGCGUAACCUAGUAGGAAUGAGACAGAAAGACAAAAUUACUGUGCUUUUUAGGUUUCAAAUAUUACUUUUCAGUUUUUCUUUUUUUCUUUGUUUGUUUGUCUUGUUUUUCCUCCCUGAAACAUAACAUGGGCUAAAUUUUAACAUGGACCUGGGGCUCAUGUUUCUGUUGUACAGCACAGGGUUGUGCAAAAUUAAAAAAAAAAAGAAAAAAAAGAAAAAAAAGGAGAGGUAUCAUAGAAUCAUAGAAUGGCCUGGGUUGAAAAGGACCACAAUGAUCAUCCAGUUUCAACCCCCCUGCUAUGUGCAGGGUCGCCAACCACCAGACCAGGCUGCCCAGAGCCACAUCCAGCCUGGGAAGCUGUUGCAUGAAUCAUUCUUUUCAUGUGUUUGGUUUUCCAAGAGUACUUUACAAAUAUCCAUUUUCAUUUGGCUUCAUAUGGCUGCCAUGGGGACCAGGAGCAAGCGUGGACCUUUUAGUUGUGCUGCACACCUUCCCCUCUUUUCCACUAGUGGAAAAACAGUACUGAGUUCUCAGCCUCUACUUUGCACUUCAUCUAAAGGAAGAGAGCUUGCAUAGGCUGUAGAUCCAGCAGUAUAAAGGGUAUCCAGUCACAAACAUUUAGCCCAUUUGUAUUUAAAAAUUAAUAGUGAAACUACAGCAAUGAAACCUCACUGCAGCACUCCGCUGUAAAAUCCUUGCUUACGGGAUUUUUAUGAGGUUUGGAUUAGGAAGGUCCUACCGGUCCUGUUAGGUGGGAAAUAAUGUGGUUUAUCAGUAUUUUUAUUUCAACAACUGUGUAUAAGUAUCCAUAGGGCAAACCUGCCUUCUCCACUUCCCCAGGGGUACCUGUGAAUAAAUAAGCAUGCGGUUCAUUGUGCAAAGCAGGGACAGAAAAUGCAAGAGGUGAGGAAAGAAGUCCUCACUUCCGAUCUGAGGCACAGAGAGAAAGGUGUGCAAGGGGCAGGGGCUGGGGAGGGAGCAGAGCAUGUAGCCAUAGCUGGGAUCUGCAUCUUGAGAGGUAUCUGGGACUACCACCACAGCCGCCAAAUUUAAGCAGGUGGAAGGAAUGUUUUCAAAUCGUAACUGCAGUGGGUCUGAAGCACGGGGCAGAAAACGUUCUCUGUUUGUAUAAAAUUUGAUUUAUAUGUAAAUAUUGAAGAGCGUCUCCUCUAGUAAUGAAUAAGGCAUAAAUUGCUUAUUUCAUGUAUGAUAAAGCCAUUAUUUUGCACGGAAGAGGCAGAUGACACUUGAUUUAUAUUGUCUUGCAAAAGCUUAAGACAAUUAGGGGGAACACUAUUCUGAGACUUAUUACAUUGACAAAAUUCUGGUACAGCCAACAGCAAUAUGAUUCACACAAGGAUCAUCUGGCAUGUAAAGCUCAUUUUAACAGAUACCAAUGUGACAUACAUAAAGCUGUCAGGCUUUCUCUAAAGGACAGUCAUCCACUUCAUGUUUCAAGUGCCAAAUUAAUUAUAUUUGACAUUUAAUUUAUAACCUAGGGUAUUUUAGAUUUAGAACUUGACUAUGAUAACAGCAGAUUAGAGCAGUGUUCCAUUUGACAGAAUCGAUCUUUCAAGUUAUUUUCCUUGUGAGCAACGGUCUUGAUUCAGAUUUUUGUGUAUCAAGCCUGCAUACAGGACAUUGAUACCUCUAAGCAAAGUACACUUCAUUCUCCUCCUCCCCCAGCCUUUCUGUGGUGAAUUAUUUUGCGCUCAGAAGCAAGUUUCUUCCCCAGUCUUAAUCACAAAGCUCCACCUAAUGGAGCGAGAAGAGAAUUGUACAGAGAAAAAGGAACACAGACGCUGCUAAAUGGUAUUAUCAAGGGAAAAAUGCUACGGAACCAUAAGCGGUUCAUCUCCUCCACCUCAUUUAUUAAGUCUCCCUUUCCAAGGACGUUAAAACUUUGAAGGGGGAUGAAAGCUGAAAAAAAAUAGCUUCAUCUUUUAAUCUGACCAAAACUGAAGCCUUCUUUUUAUUGCUACUGAUAGAUGUUUCGACCCACUGAUAUAAUGUUUCACACUGAUGUAAUGCCUUAACUUUUAUGUUAUAAUAAUUUAAAACUAAUAAGUACACAAAGUAGAUGGUAAAUAUGUG